CCUUACGGCCAUACCACCCUGAGGACGCCUGACCUCGUCUGAUGUCGGAAGCUAAGCAGGGCUGGGCUUGGUUAGUACUUGGAUGGGGGAAUACCUGGUGCUGUAAGCU
rnacentral:rRNA from 1 species